UAUCAAAUGAAUGUACUAUCUUACUAUAUAUACACAGGGUGGCCCAAAAGUAGGUACAUGGUUGGAUCAAUGAAAUUCAUUACAACAAACAGAUUAUAUGUGUACACAUACACACUGACAUGUUACAAAGUGGUAGAAACAUUUUAGGCAUUUAACCCCUUAAAGGGACACUCCAGGCACCCAGACCACUUCUGCCCAUUAGUGUGGUCUGGGUGCCAACUCCCAUCACCCUUAACCCUGCAAGUGUAAUUUUUGCAGUUUUUAUAACGGAGAAGGGAAGUGAGUUCCACAGGAACGGUGCAGCCCUCGAGAAGUCUUGAAGGCGAGCAUCAGAGGUGGGAGUACAGACAGAAGAGAGACGUAAGUCUUCAGCAGAGCGUAAGGGCCUAGACGGGACAUACUUGUGUAUUAGGAAGGAUAGAUAGGUGGGAGCAGCAUUAUGUAGAGAUUUGAAAGCAAGAACCAGAAUUUUAAAUUGAGCCUGUUUGUGUUCCUGACCCUAUAGUGCUCCUUUAAGGAAGUGGUCAGCCAUCCAGUUAGAAAU